UAGAAUACUCUGCCUGAAGUCUUUUUUUAACCUACUUGAUUUCAAGAUCCAGAUCGUUUCAUAGGCUUCUGUCCAACCUAACACUAUUAAAUCAGACAGGCGACUGCCUGUGCUCCAGGCUACCUGUGCAGGUGUAGGGCAACCGUGUUCCCACAGCUCUAGAGGGAGUUGCUCAUUAGUGUUUUGUGCUUUGAUCAUAAUAAGAAAUAAUUACCCCUGUCACAUGACUUGCCCACAAAGCUGUGAUUCUGGAAACUUGAUGGGGAAGACCCAACCUGAAAUACAUCCCUUUUAUGGUAUAAUUGGGCCCACAGUCUUUUGUGAACUUCUGUGGGGUAGGAAGCUGCUGGAGAAAGAGUGGACAGGAGGCUAGCUACAAAGGACAUCCUUAAAGUGACAGUGGCUCCUGUAGAUUGACCAAUGAAAUUCAGAGCAAGAGAAAAAGAUGGGAAACUUGUAAGUCAUUCCAGUAGUAGGAACAUUGGAGUAUAUAUUUUGACUGUUGGGCAGAUAGGUAGAAUUCUUUACGCCUGAGUCAAUGUGUUUUAAGUCAGACUUUAUGCCUUAGGUCUCAAGAAGGUGAGGACACUUUUGUCUAUUGGUCUAGAUCUGUCCAGUCUUAACAAUUGUCACCAGUGGACCAGCUAUGCUUUUGAUGAGAUACUUGCUAUCAAGUGUCUCUCACUAGAAGCCAUUUUUAUUUCCACUUGAAGCCAGGAGUCAUGGUUACCUUAGAAGUGCUCCUUCUCCUUUCACUGAAGAAGUAUUUAUUAAUUGCACAGCUGUGUGGCCAGUAGUGUUCUAGGUGCUGGAGACACAGGGGACUAAGUUCCUUACUGCUAUUCUCUAAGGGUGGUAGGUGAAGGCAACAAACUGAGAAACAAAUAUAUCCAUGAGCUCAUUUCACAUUUCAGAGAACUGCUCAUAUUACAGAGAUGUUAAGCCAGGGUCGCAGUAUAGAGAGAAAAUGGGUACUAGCAAUUGUAUUGGCAUUGGCCCAGAGAGUCAGGGUGACCGCUCUGAGCAAUGGUGAGCAAGGGACAGGUGACCAAGCAGAGCCUGUAGGGAUAUCUUGGAUGCCUGUGAGCCUGGGGAGUUGGGGAGUUUGGGGAGUUUGGGGAGUUUGGGGGAGUCAAGAAACAAGACUGUGUAGAACAGCAAUUCUCAACUUGUAGGUUGUCAACCUUUUGGAGUUGAGAAACAUUUUCACAGGGUCACCUAAAGCCAUCAGAAAGCACAGAUAUUUACAUGAUGAUUCACAACAGUAGUAAAAUUGCAGUUGUGAAGUAGCAAUAAAAAUAAUCUUAUGAUUGGGAGUCAAUACAACAUGAAGAACUGUAUUAAAGGGUUGAAAAAUUAGGAAGGUUGAGAACCACUGAUGUAGAGGGUUGAAGAGGAUGAGACGAGGAGGAGGAAGAGGAGGAAGAGGAGGAGGAAGAGGAGGAAGAGGAGGAGGAGGAAGCAGGCAGGCCUAGGUAGUGGAAUGGAAGCCCUCUGUGCCUUUUGUAGAGUCUUCAGCAAUAAUAUGAUGCCAUCCCAUCAGAAGGGAACUCUAGAGUUUUUUUUCUGCCAGGCUGCUCCCCAAGGGUAGCAUUCCAGUCAGUAACUUGGUCCAGUCAGUGACUUGGUCCAGUCAGUAACUUGGUCCAGCUGUGGUGGUAGACCUUCUAAUAAGUGAAAUCCAUCUUGCCCUGAAAUUACACGCUGUGGCGCAACCAUGUCAUUUCCACAAAAGCCUAUAUUUCAGCACUUCUUCCCAGUGUGACUUUCUGUGGCUUACCAGCUUUCAAACCAACUAAGUAACUGUUUUUAUAAUGCAGUCCCUGGGGCAUAAAUAGGUAUGUUCCUAUCACACCACUCCAUGUGGGUAUCACCCUUCCAGCUAUGUCCUUCAGCACAACCUUGACCCACCCCAACAUUUUAUGGCAGCUGCUUCUCAGGAGGGUCUUCCGCUUCCUCCUCAGUUCUGCCUGAUGGUUCUUCCAGCAUGGAGCUGUCUCGUAAAUCCUAUGUAGAGUCCAGCCAAAUAUCUGAAGUUUGGAUACUGGUGCUUCUCUUCUACCUCAUGUCUGUGAGAUAUUUAGAAAUUUGGACCAGAGAUGUUGAGCUGUUGACUGCGAUAGAACAUUUUACCUAAUAGAGAAGGAACAAAAUCCAUUUAAAAAUCUACUCAGUUUCCAUCUUGAAUCUCCAGAUUUUCCUGCCUUAUGCAGUCUUCCCAAACUUUUAAUUCUGCUGCCACAUCUGUUGUUUUGUUUGGUGACCUGAUAAGUUUCACCAGGGUUGCCUGCAGGGGCACGGGUGGGGCAUUAUUUGCAGCACUGUCUGUACCUUACCAGUGCCUACACCACCCGACACCACUGGUAGAGAUCUCUUUUUCUCACCCCAGCAACUAUUAACUGCACACAAAUCCUCCGACAGUGGUAGGUGGGACUUCCUGAGUCCCCCCAACUUCAGGACAGAAUGUUACGGAGCAUCAUCAUGAUCAAAUUCUUGCGUUCAUAGCCUGACAUAGACCGUGCACUAUUGAGCUCUUGAUAAAAGAAUGUUUAUGAUUCAUUACCUCUUUUGCAAGACAUUUAUUGGAUAUAAUUUAGGCUGUGGGAAGGUUCUAGAACAUGGAAUAAUAGCAACAUAAUACAUGACCUGGAGAACUCUUUAACUAUGAUUUAUGAUUCUCAGUUCUUCAUCAGAUAGGAAAGAGAAUGGAGCCUUGAAAUGAAGAGGUCUGUCUGAGAAUUAAAAAAAAAAAAAAAAAAAAAAAAAGUGGCCAGUACCCUGGGGUCAUGAAAGUGGGAGAGCUGGUCCUUCCCCUCAUGAGCUGCACCACUCAGAAGAUCAGGUCCCGCACCUUGACUGGGCAGCACAGAGUUGGCUCUGGUGGCUUGGGUGCUGGUAACCUGGCCCCAAGGGCAUGAGAGUAGGAGAGUUGACCCUGCCCUCUGUGGGCUACAGCAUUGGGUGAGCUAUUCAGACCAGUGCUAGAGAGCUUACAUAGGAAGUGUAGGUACAGGAGAGCUGGUGGGACGACCAACUCAGCUACCAUGAAGGCCCACACCCAGGGCUUUGACUUGGUCUACACCAAAAUCUACCUCAUGUGCUUGAGCAUGGGGAAGGGUAAGUCCUACAGAUGCAAAGCUGCAGGAUCUCCAUGGCACAGGGCAACAACAGGAGAACCAAGAGAAAUCCAGGUGAGGGUGCAGUAUUGAUGGUUGGCCUCAAACCAGACUAAUGACUCCUUACAAUGUGCAUUUACAAGGAAAACUGUGAACUCAAGGGUAUACUGUGGGACACAUUACCAUUUCCAUAACAAGAUAUUUUCUAUGCUUUGUUUUGUCUAGUUUUGUUUUUUAUUUUCUUUUGUGUGCAGGGGUGGGCAUUGCUAGGGCAGAGGACAGAGGGCAGAUACGAAAGGUCUGGGAGAUGAGUGGAACUCGGGGACAUAAUGUGAAACUCACAAAGAAUCAAUG
rnacentral:lncRNA from 1 species